GGGGAUUUAGCUCAGUGGCAUAAGCACCUGCCUUACAAGCAGGUGGUCGUGAGUUCGAUCCCUG
rnacentral:tRNA from 1 species